rnacentral:rRNA from 1 species
GAAUGCUGACAUAAGUAACGAUAAAGCGGGUGAAAAGCCCGCUCGCCGGAAGACCAAGGGUUCCUGUCCAACGUUAAUCGGGGCAGGGUGAGUCGACCCCUAAGGCGAGGCCGAAAGGCGUAGUCGAUGGGAAACAGGUUAAUAUUCCUGUACUUGGUGUUACUGCGAAGGGGGGACGGAGAAGGCUAUGUUGGCCGGGCGACGGUUGUCCCGGUUUAAGCGUGUAGGCUGGUUUUCCAGGCAAAUCCGGAAAAUCAAGGCUGAGGCGUGAUGACGAGGCACUACGGUGCUGAAGCAACAAAUGCCCUGCUUCCAGGAAAAGCCUCUAAGCAUCAGGUAACAUCAAAUCGUACCCCAAACCGACACAGGUGGUCAGGUAGAGAAUACCAAGGCGCUUGAGAGAACUCGGGUGAAGGAACUAGGCAAAAUGGUG